rnacentral:rRNA from 1 species
GAUGAACGCUGGCGGCGUGCCUAAUACAUGCAAGUCGAGCGAACGGACGAGAAGCUUGCUUCUCUGAUGUUAGCGGCGGACGGGUGAGUAACACGUGGAUAACCUACCUAUAAGACUGGGAUAACUUCGGGAAACCGGAGCUAAUACCGGAUGAUAUUUUGAACCGCAUGGUUCAAAAGUGAAAGACGGUCUUGCUGUUACUUAUAGAUGAAUCCGCGCUGCAUUAGCUAGUUGGUAAGGUAACGGCUUACCAAGGCAACGAUGCAUAGCCGACCUGAGAGGGUGAUCGGCCACACUGGAACUGAGACACGGUCCAGACUCCUACGGGAGGCAGCAGUAGGGAAUCUUCCGCAAUGGGCGAAAGCCUGACGGAGCAACGCCGCGUGAGUGAUGAAGGUCUUCGGAUCGUAAAACUCUGUUAUUAGGGAAGAACAUAUGUGUAAGUAACUGUGCACAUCUUGACGGUACCUAAUCAGAAAGCCACGGCUAACUACGUG